GACAGAGGGUGCGAACGUUGUUCGGAAUUACUGGGCGUAAAGCGCAUGUAGGCGGCAGCGCAAGUCGGGCGUGAAAUCCCACGGCUCAACCGUGGAAGUGCACUCGAAACUGCGCAGCUAGAGUCCUGGAGAGGAAGGUGGAAUGCUUGGUGUAGAGGUGAAAUUCGUAGAUAUCGUCAAGAACACCGAUAGUGAAGACAGCUAACUAAGCUUUAACUGACGCUGAGGCACGAAAGUGUGGGGAUCAAACAGG
rnacentral:rRNA from 1 species